rnacentral:rRNA from 1 species
CCUACGGUAGGCAGCAGUGGGGAAUCUUGCGCAAUGGGCGAAAGCCUGACGCAGCGACGCCGCGUGAGGGAUGAAGGUCUUCGGAUCGUAAACCUCUGUCAGCAGGGAAGAACGGUCACUGUGCUAAUCAGCAGUGAAUUGACGGUACCUGCAAAGGAAGCACCGGCUAACUCCGUGCCAGCAGCCGCGGUAAUACGGAGGGUGCGAGCGUUAAUCGGAAUUACUGGGCGUAAGGCGCUCGUAGGCGGUAUGUCAAGUCAAGUGUGAAAUCCCCGCGCUGAACGUGGGAACUGCCUUUGAAACUGGCAAACUGGAGUGUGUGAGAGGAUAGUGGAAUUCCAGGUGUAGGAGUGAAAUCCGUAGAUAUCUGGAGGAACAUCAGUGGAGAAGGCGACUAUCUGGCACAUAACUGACGCUGAGGAGCGAAAGCGUGGGUAGCAAACAGGAUUAGAUACCCCAGUAGUC